GUCUCUUUAGAGACAUUAGAUACAAUUGGAAUGAUAUAGAGAAGAUUAACAAGACCCCUGCGCAAGGAUGACACGCAUAAAUCGAGAAAUGGUUCAAUUUUUU